rnacentral:rRNA from 1 species
CCUACGGGGUGCAGCAGUGGGGAAUAUUGGGCAAUGGAGGAAACUCUGACCCAGCAAUGCCGCGUGAAUGAAGAAGGUCUUCGGAUUGUAAAGCUCUUUAGUCAGGGAAGAAUAAAAUGACGGUACCUGAAGAAUAAGCUUCGGUUAACUACGUGCCAGCAGCCGCGGUAAUACGUAGGGAGCAAGCGUUGUUCGGAAUGACUGGGCGUAAAGGGUGCGUAGGCGGUGAUACAAGGUAGAAGUGGAAUACCCGGGGCUUAACUCGGGUGCUGCUUCUAAAACUGUAAGACUUGAGUGCAGUAGAGGUUAGUGGAAUUCCUGGUGUAGCGGUGAAAUGCGUAGAUAUUAGGAAGAACACCGGUGGCGAAGGCAGCUUACUGGACUGUAACUGACGUUGAGGCUCGAAAGCGUGGGGAGCAAACAGGAUUAGAUACCCGAGUAGUC